UUUCUAAUGAGAACAAGACCUGCCUGAUGGACGGCUGCAGAGAAACUGGGGAAUUCAUAACCAGGCCGGCCAGUUUCAUGUGGAACGAGCUAUUACAGGGAGCUGCAUUUUAAGUAGCCUCCAGAGCAGCCUUCAGAGCUUCAUUCUCAUCCAGCUGGAUCACAAGCCUAUGAGGAAACAAAAGGAAACUUUCAUGUGAGCCUGGGAGCUUCAAAACAAAUUAGAACAGUGCUUCAGCUCCAGGGAAGAAAACACUGAAACAGGUGCUCUCUGGUAAUCUUGUACCAGCCAUGAGAAAGAACAGACCUAUAAACACUUGCUCCUUUUCUCUCAGAGACAGAAAAAGUUAUUAGAAGACAAAAAUACUUUUCAGAUGUUUUGUUAAAGAUGACCAUUUCUUUUUUCCAGCAAUAAGCUUGCAAUCAAUAGCUAAGGAAAGAAAAAAAUAAAGGUGUUUUUCUUGAA